AACGCGAAGAACCUUACCAGGUCUUGACAUCCUCUGACAAUCCUAGAGAUAGGACUUUCCCCUUCGGGGGACAGAGUGACAGGUGGUGCAUGGUUGUCGUCAGCUCGUGUCGUGAGAUGUUGGGUUAAGUCCCGCAACGAGCGCAACCCUUGUCCUUAGUUGCCAGCAUUUAGUUGGGCACUCUAAGGAGACUGCCGGUGACAAACCGGAGGAAGGUGGGGAUGACGUCAAAUCAUCAUGCCCCUUAUGACCUGGGCUACACACGUGCUACAAUGGAUGGUACAAAGGGCUGCAAGACCGCGAGGUUUAGCCAAUCCCAUAAAACCAUUCUCAGUUCGGAUUGUAGGCUGCAACUCGCCUACAUGAAGCCGGAAUCGCUAGUAAUCGUGGAUCAGCAUGCCACGGUGAAUACGUUCCCGGGCCUUGUA
rnacentral:rRNA from 1 species